UGUCAUGCCAAUGGCACUGCCCGGUAGCUAAAUGCGGAAGAGAUAAGUGCUGAAAGCAUCUAAGCACGAAACUUGCCCCGAGAUGAGUUCUCCCUGAGACUAUAAGUCUCCUGAAGGAACGUUGAAGACGACGACGUUGAUAGGCCGGGUGUGUAAGCGCAGCGAUGCGUUGAGCUAACCGGUACUAAUGAACCGUGAGGCUU
rnacentral:rRNA from 1 species